GUGCCAGCAGCUGCGGUAAUACGGAGGGUGCAAGCCGUUAAUCGGAAUUACUGGGCGUAAACGCGCACGCAGGCGGUUGAUUAAGUCGAGAUGUGAAAUCCCCGGGCUCAACCCGGGAACUGCAUCUGAUACUGGUCAGCUGGAGUCUCGUAGAGGGGAGGUAGAAUUCCAGGUGUAGCGGUGAAAUGCGUAGAGAUCUGGAGGAAUACCGGUGGCGAAGGCGGCCUCCUGGACGAAGACUGACGCUCAGGUGCGAAAGCGUGGGGAGCAAACAGGAUUAGAUACCCUGGUAGUCCACGCUGUAAACGAUGUCGACUUGGAGGUUGUGCCCAUGAGGCGUGGCUUCCGGAGCUAACGCGUUAAGUCGACCGCCUGGGGAGUACGGCCGCAAGGUUAAAACUCAAAUGAAUUGACGGGGCCCGCACAAGCGGUGGAGCAUGUGGUUUAAUUCGAUGCAACGCGAAGAACCUUACCUGGUCUUGACAUCCACAGAAGUUUCCAGAGAUGGGAAUGUGCCUUAGGGAGUCG
rnacentral:rRNA from 1 species